CCUUCUACUAUCAGCCUUGUGUGGUUCAUAAUGUAGCCUACUCAAAAAUUUCUACACGGGACAUCGAGAUUUAUGAAUGCCUUUACCAUGCAGGGCUUGUAAUUAGUCUACAACGUCACUGUGUGAGGCAGCGAUGACCAAGUGCACAUUCACUGGACCAAGCCAAGUUAUCACUUUGAUUCCGUACAUCGCCGGAGGAAUGCAACGGUGCCAACCGUCGGGCAACUGAACAAAAGCGGGACUUCUGUUACUGUGCGCUGGAACAGGGAAAGCUGCAUUGAAACGCAUACAAUCGCAUAACGAAAUGAUUUUUUUUGACGGCUUGGCACUCAAUAACUCGUUUAUUUGAACAAAGUUCACCACUUUCUCGAUUCCAGCAUGCUCAGACGAGAUAGUCUAGCAAGCAGACUUUAAUCUUUGCUGCUGUCGUCGUCAGUAAAACUAUUGGAGGGGAAAACUGAAGUAUUAUUUUUGAUCACAUAUUUUAAAAUGACAUCUUCUGUGACUGAAGCAAUUAUUGAAUCCUAUGCAUUGAUGUUUUUCGUAAUGUCAACAUUCUUUAUCUAUUUCUGCGCCAUGAUUUGGGCAUUUUGCAACCCAAAACUCAGUAGCGUGGAUGAAGAUUAUCAAAUGAAGGAAUUAAACGAAAAUCGUUCAAAAAUGUGCGAUGAGAUUCCCUUGGAUCAAUUCAAUAUGAUGCGCUCGGAAAAUCUGCAAAACUCAAGUGACUGGAGGGCAAACAUCACAGAAGAAGCCUGCUUGAAAUACUUCGACAGCCUUAUUAAACUACAACAGAAGGAAUGAAAUCUGGCUGUGGUGAUCUGAUCAAUCACUCUUCUAUUUGUGCAAAAUAUUAACACACGUUAUUUGCAUCUUAUUUUCUGUCUAAAACUGUAGAAAUUACUAAAACAAAUUCUUCGACAUCAUACCCAUGAUUAGUAAACCGUAACCUAAUCAACCUCAGUUUUAGAGUCAAACGCAUUUUCAUAAAAUACCUAUUACGCGGUCGUAACUGAGCUGCAAGCAACUUAUUUGGAGUACUAUAGUACAUCAUGUACUUUAUAAAAUGGAUGUGCACUUUCAAUGUCGUCGGUUGGUUGUGAACUUGUUCUUGUAUUUAUUUUAGUACGUAAUAAUAUUAAUCAAAUCAAGCAAUUUUAUUUGUAUAGCGUUUUUUCCACGAAGACUCUUAGCAGGGUAGCAGAAUUAGAUAAAACAGUUCUUACAUGUCAUCAAUGGCUACUAUGGUUUCACCUCUAUUCUGCGAGGAGCAACGAAAUAUGAGCCUUUUAAUGUGCGGAGAGUUGCGUAAUUUUAGGAGGAAAAUGUCCCCACGACCUUCUCGGUUUCUCGGGAAAUGUUAUUUAAAGUCCUUGUAUUGAUAGUUUGUAACCUGGCCCCGUAAGAGUUUUAUAAUUGGUGUUCUUCGGGCCCAUCAUUGCUGGCUUAUAAGCAACCCCCUGACAGAUUCACUGUGGCCUUUUUGAAAUUAAUGUAAUUUAGAAUAACCCUUAUCUCCUGUUAUUCUUCUUAAUAUUUCAGGGCACAGGAUCGCAACUAAUUUGGCAUUCGAUAUCCCCAUAAUGAAACUGACACCAAGUUUAGAAGCUCAUCAAUUUUUUAUAAACUUGGCAAGAACUGUGAAUUAAGUAGAGUCCCUAGGACAUUAGUCACAAUAAUUCGUUUGAUGAUAGUCAUUGAAGUACUGCCAAAUCCAAGGAGUUAAGCUACUCUACAGCAAGUGGAAUACAAAUCAUCCAAUGGCUAAACAUAUAAGAAGCUUUUUAGGUUGUGAAUAUUUAACUCAUGCACUGUAAGAUCUGUGGAAAGCGUCCUUUUCUCAUGCAAAACUGGAAUUCUAAGAUACAUCCGGAAGCUCCUCAUGUACAUUGUGCCUGCAUCAGAAUGGAGAGUGCAGGGAACACAACCUGGAGAGAUCCAAAUCCCGGAUACCUUACCGGGCCCAUUCCAAAAUGUGCUCGUGAUCAAACAGUAGCUUUAAAUUUCAAUAGAAAUCUACAAGCGGUUGGGGCUACAUGGGGCUGUCUUUCAAGCUUUUAUGCUACGGUUCCCGAGUGUCAGAGAUCAAGCUCAGAAACCAGCAAAGCAGCAGCCAGUGAACCCCGUUUUUAUCACUUACGUUCUGAGGGCUGGGACAGCAGGAUCCUGAUUCAGGCACACUGGGAGAGGUCAUUUCCAGGUCCCAGAGAUUCACACAAGUCAUUCUCUCAGCCAAAUGAAGAUAACUUGCCAAGCAGCACAUUUUACGCGCCUGAUCAUCAGUUGAGCCAACGGAUUUAUUGUCAUGAAGUAUCUCCAUACUGCACAAGUCAGAUGCAAAACCAUAACAAGUGUGAAAAUACGGAAUGCUCUGGCUUGCAUCAUUGCCAAGUGAAUGAGCGUCCUACUUUUGGCAAGAUACAGAAGGCCUCAGCUGGAUAUAGCACACCCCUACCCACAAUCCCAGGUAGCCAUCUUGUCAAGACAAAUGUUACCCAGAAUGCAUCAUCACACUCUCUCAGGAGACCUCAGUCUUCCCUGACGAAUGUGUUGCCUACUGGAUCAAGCUGUGAGAACUCAGUAGAGGCGGGACACAUAGCCCUGGCUACCCUAGUGAGGUUGCGGGCACUGCUGGCACAGUGCUGCCACUCUCUGAACUCCCUGUUUGAAGUUCACCAGGACGUCAUCUGCUGCCGCCACUACUAUGCCUCCGCUGUGGUAUGCUGGCUCUUCUGUAUUGUCAUCACCACCGUGGUGCUUAUUGCUGCUACUGCGUUUAGGUCACCCCACAAUGGAGACUGAAAAGCGGUGUCUAAUGGAAUAACUGUUGUGUUUGUGUUUCACUUUACCUUGUUGAGGUUUACAUUGUUGGAUUAUUAUGUGUUUGUUAAUGUAUUCUUUCACUACUUAAAAGGGGAUGAAUAAUCAAUGUAUACGUCAGCUUUUGUUAAUCAAGUUAAUCACAAGGAAAUUCAGUUUUCAUGUCACAAAUGAGCAGAGAUACUAUCAAUCUGCUUGCAUUGCAAAUUUCUCAUAGCCAGGAAAUAAUGAGGGGUCUUAACCUUUCAUUUAGCUGACAUUGGUCUUGUAACAGGAUCGGUUUAAUUAUUUGCUAUAAGUACGUGUAGAGUCUCAAAACUUUUAAGAAUGCAAUGGUCCUCUGUAAUAUACUAGUCAAUUUUUAAAUUGAAGUGUUCUGUGGUUGUGUGUAAAGAAGAGAAAUUCAAAUGGGCCAUAUGACUACUUAAUUAAUGUCAUAUUGCAUUCUGUGGACGCAAAUCUCUUUCAUCUUUGACUUUACUUUUUAUGUUGCUUUCAAGCUCCAGUUAUUUCUCACAAUGGGCUUCUGCCAUGUCUUUGACAAUAUCCAUCUGAAGCACAAACAAAAAGGAAGUCAAGUGUGAAAAGAUAUUUGAAAAAAGCAAUGUUGAUGGCAGCUGGGGUCUGAAUAAUGGACAUGUCAAAAAGAGUCACAUCCGAGAAUGAAAAAUAAAAAUAGAUCAAGCA